rnacentral:rRNA from 1 species
CUACGGGUGGCACCAGUGGGGAAUAUUGCACAAUGGGCGCAAGCCUGAUGCAGCCAUGCCGCGUGUAUGAAGAAGGCCUUCGGGUUGUAAAGUACUUUCAGCGGGGAGGAAGGGAGUAAAGUUAAUACCUUUGCUCAUUGACGUUACCCGCAGAAGAAGCACCGGCUAACUCCGUGCCAGCAGCCGCGGUGAAUACGGAGGGUGCAAGCGUUAAUCGGAAUUACUGGGCGUAAAGCGCACGCAGGCGGUUUGUUAAGUCAGAUGUGAAAUCCCCGGGCUCAACCUGGGAACUGCAUCUGAUACUGGCAAGCUUGAGUCUCGUAGAGGGGGGUAGAAUUCCAGGUGUAGCGGUGAAAUGCGUAGAGAUCUGGAGGAAUACCGGUGGCGAAGGCGGCCCCCUGGACGAAGACUGACGCUCAGGUGCGAAAGCGUGGGGAGCAAACAGGAUUAGAUACCCCAGUAGUC